UACGUAGGGGGCGAGCGUUGUCCGGAGUUACUGGGCGUAAAGCGCUUGUAGGCGGUCCACCAAGUUUGGGGUGACAGUUGCCGACUUAAUCGGCAAAGUGCCUCAAAGACUGGCGGACUUGAGGGCCACAGAGGGACAUGGAAUUCCUGGUGUAGCGGUGAAAUGCGUAGAUAUCAGGAGGAACACCGGCGGUGUAGACCGCUCUCUGGACCGUAACUGACGCUGAGACACGAAAGCGUGGGUAGCAAACAGG
rnacentral:rRNA from 1 species